GAUGAACGCUGGCGGCGUGCCUAAUACAUGCAAGUCGAGCGAAUGGAUUAAGAGCUUGCUCUUAUGAAGUUAGCGGCGGACGGGUGAGUAACACGUGGGUAACCUGCCCAUAAGACUGGGAUAACUACGGGAAACCGGGGCUAAUACCGGAUACCAUUUUGAACCGCAUGGUUCGAAAUUGAAAGGCGGCUUAGCGUGUCACUUAUGGAUGGACCCGCGUCGCAUUAGCUAGUUGGUGAGGUAACGGCUCACCAAGGCAACGAUGCGUAGCCGACCUGAGAGGGUGAUCGGCCACACUGGGACUGAGACACGGCCCAGACUCCUACGGGAGGCAGCAGUAGGGAAUCUUCCGCAAUGGACGAAAGUCUGACGGAGCAGCGCCGCGUGAGUGAUGAAGGCUUUCGGGUCGUAAAACUCUGUUGUUAGGGAAGAACAAGUGCUAGUUGAAUAAGCUGGCACCUUGACGGUACCUAACCAGAAAGCCACGGCUAACUACGUGCCAGCCGCCGCAGUAA
rnacentral:rRNA from 1 species